UGUAAGCGUAUACCAAAGUUGUUGCAGUUAAAACGCUCGUAGUCGGAAUUUGGCAGUUCCGGAUGUGUGCACGUCGUGUGCGCACUUCGCGGGGAUUGCUAUUGUGGUCUUGCGUAGGAUGAGGCACUUUUAUUAGUGAACGUCCUCACGCAACCACUUUUUACUGUGAGAAAAUCAGAGUGCUCAAAGCAGGCAUUUGCCGUGAAUGUAUUAGCAUGGAAUAAUAGAAUAGGACUUGGUUCUAUUUUGUUGGUUUGUUGGGACUGAGUAAUGAUUAAGAGGGACAGUUGGGGGCAUUUGUAUUUCGGUGCUAGAGGUGAAAUUCUUAGAUUACCGAAAGACAAACUGCUGCGAAAGCGUCUGCCAAGGAUGUUUUCAUUGA
rnacentral:rRNA from 1 species